rnacentral:rRNA from 1 species
UACGAAGGGGGCUAGCGUUGCUCGGAAUCACUGGGCGUAAAGGGUGCGUAGGCGGGUCUUUAAGUCAGGUGUGAAAUCCUGGAGCUCAACUCCAGAACUGCCUUUGAUACUGAAGAUCUUGAGUUCGGGAGAGGUGAGUGGAACUGCGAGUGUAGAGGUGAAAUUCGUAGAUAUUCGCAAGAACACCAGUGGCGAAGGCGGCUCACUGGCCCGAUACUGACGCUGAGGCACGAAAGCGUGGGGAGCAAACAGG